GGCUGCAUAGAUCAGUUGGUUAGAUCGCAUGCUUCACACGCAUGAGGUCGCCGGUUCGAGCCCGGCUGCGGUCA
rfam:Gonapodya prolifera JEL478 unplaced genomic scaffold M427scaffold_3, whole genome shotgun sequence.